rnacentral:rRNA from 1 species
UACGUAGGUGGCAAGCGUUGUCCGGAUUUAUUGGGUUUAAAGGGCGCGUAGGCGGCUUUGCAAGUGACGGGUGAAAUCCCUCGGCUUAACCGAGGAACUGCCUGUCAAACUGCAUGGCUUGAGACCGGGAGAGGUGAGUGGAAUUCCCAGUGUAGCGGUGAAAUGCGUAGAUAUUGGGAGGAACAUCGGUGGCGAAGGCGGCUACCUGGACGGGUACUGACGCUGAUGCGCGAAAGCUAGGGGAGCAAACAGG